rnacentral:rRNA from 1 species
AUUGAACGCUAGCGGGAUGCCUUACACAUGCAAGUCGAACGGAGUGGCGAACGGGUGAGUAAUGUAUCGGAACGUGCCCAGUAGCGGGGGAUAACUACGCGAAAGCGUCGCUAAUACCGCAUACUAUUGGAGCGGCCGAUAUCGGAUUAGCUAGUUUGUGGGGUAACGGUUCACCAAGGCGACGAUCCGGAGAUGGUUUGAGAGGACGACCAGCCAAACUGGGACUGAGACACGGGCCAGGCUCCUGCGGGAGGCAGCAGUGGGGAAUUUUGGACGAGGGGGGAAGCCCUGAUCCAGCCAUCCCGCUUGUGCGAUGAAGGCCUUCGGGUUGUAAAGCACUGUUGGCAGGAAAGCGGUACCUGCAGAAUAGGCACCGGCUAAAUACGUGCCAGCAGCCGCGGUAAUUC